CGGUUGAUCCUGCCGGAGNCCACUGCUAUCGGGGUUCGAUUAAGCCAUGCGAGUCGAGAGGUGCAAGGCCUCGGCGCACUGCUCAGUAACACGUGGACAACCUACCCUGAGGAGGGGGAUAACCCCGGAAAACUGGGGAUAAUACCCCAUAGAUGAGGGAAGCUGGAAUGCUCCCUCGUUCAAAGGUCCGCCGCCUCAGGAUGGGUCUGCGGCCGAUUAGGUUGUUGUUGGGGUAACGGCCCAACAAGCCUUUGAUCGGUACGGGUUGUGGGAGCAAGAGCCCGGAGAUGGAUUCUGAGACACGAAUCCAGGCCCUACGGGGCGCAGCAGGCGCGAAAACUUUACAAUGCGAGAAAUCGUGAUAAGGGAACCCCGAGUGCCCGUAAAUUCGGGCUGUCCAUCAGUGUAAAUAACUGGUGAAGAAAGGGCCGGGCAAGACCGGUGCCAGCCGCCGCGGUAAUACCGGCGGCUCGAGUGGUGGCCACUAUUACUGGGCUUAAAGCGUUCGUAGCUGGGUUGUUAAGUCCCCUGGGAAAUCCAUCGGCUCAACCGAUGGGCGUUCAGGAGAUACUGCCAACCUAGGGACCGGGAGAGGUGAGAGGUACUCCAGGGGUAGGAGUGAAAUCCUGUAAUCCUUGGGGGACCACCUGUGGCGAAGGCGUCUCACUAGAACGGCUCCGACAGUGAGGAACGAAAGCUGGGGGAGCAAACCGGAUUAGAUACCCGGGUAGUCCCAGCUGUAAACGAUGCGCGUUAGGUGUAUCGGUGACCACGAGUCACCGAGGUGCCGAAGGGAAACCGUGAAACGUGCCGCCUGGGAAGUACGGUCGCAAGGCUGAAACUUAAAGGAAUUGGCGG
rnacentral:rRNA from 1 species